rnacentral:rRNA from 1 species
GAUGAACGCUAGCGGCAGGCUUAACACAUGCAAGUCGAGGGGUAUUAGGAGCUUGCUCCUAAGAGACCGGCGCACGGGUGCGUAACGCGUAUGCAACCUACCUUGAACAGGGGGAUAGCCCAGAGAAAUUUGGAUUAAUACCCCAUGGUAUAUUAGAAUGGCAUCAUUUUAUUAUUAAAGUCACAACGGUUCAAGAUGGGCAUGCGUCCCAUUAGCUAGAUGGUAAGGUAACGGCUUACCAUGGCUACGAUGGGUAGGGGUCCUGAGAGGGAGAUCCCCCACACUGGUACUGAGACACGGACCAGACUCCUACGGGAGGCAGCAGUGAGGAAUAUUGGUCAAUGGGCGCAAGCCUGAACCAGCCAUGCCGCGUGCAGGAUGAAGCAUCUAUGGUGUGUAAACUGCUUUUAUACGGGAAGAAACCCUGCCACGUGUGGCAGAUUGACGGUACCGUAGGAAUAAGGAUCGGCUAACUCCGUGCCAGCCGCCGCAGUAA